AAGCUGCUGUAUAUUCUCUUGAUGUUGGAGCAGACCCACCAGAAAGGAUAUUUCAAUUAAUUGACCAAGUCAACCCCAGUAUUUUCUGCAUUCAUGCUACAAACUAUAAACAAGCACUUUACCUCAGGUCCCCUGAAAUGCCAACUCCAGAAAAUUUUGAUGAUUUGCUUAAUGAGUUUGGGAGUGCUGCUUUCAGUGCUGAGCCUGAGAGCUGGAAUAUGGACACAGAUGCUCCAGACCCUCCUGAUGCAAAUGAAACUCAGAGAUAUGAGUAUGGGGUUCCUGUACAGACAGAGGAUGCAUUUCUGAAACUGCCAAGUCCUGUUGUCUCCUCCUGGUGCUCUGAUGCCAAUCCUGCAGGGUUUUUAGUAAACCAGGCCACAAAAUGCAUCAGAUCUGUAAGUGUGGAAAAAUGUGAAAGCAUUCAAGCACUUAAUAUGCUGUUCUACAUCAACUCCAGCAUUUUGGCAGUGCCCAAAUCAAGUCAGAUGGUUAAUAUUUCUGUCCAGUCCAUAGUUGUCCAGUCCCUGGAUGGAAUGAGGACUUUACUGAAGGGUGCUGAUGUCCCGAGGCUCCCCAUGAUUUUGGAUGAACUGUGCUUAAAUAUAGUCCUUGGGGUGAGUUAUCACAUUACCUACACAGACACAGGAGAAAUAAUAGAAGCAGCUGCUGCUUUUGUCUUGGGGGCAAUUACCAAAGAAGCACUUUCAAUCCAGCAGAGCUUCCAAAUCAGCUUCACUCAGGUAGACACAAAGCCAGUUCCUCUCAGUGGCAAUCCUGGUUACAUUGUCGGGCUGCCUGUGAGAGCAGGAUUCUGGCCUCAAGGAUCUGGCAUCACUCAGAGCACCAACAAACCCAGCCAGCUCUCCAUCCUGCAGAGCACAUCCACCCAGGACUGCCUGGCAGCACAGGGAGCCAGAGCCCCCGUGUUAUUUGGUUAUAACAUGAUCUCAGGCUGUAAGUUACGAAUUACAGCAGCUAUGAAAUGCCAGCCUUUGGCUCAGACCCUCCUGGAUGUACUGAAGGGCCAAAACUUUCCUGAGUAUGUGGCCUCAUUUGGGAAUUCCCAAGCCCAGGAUGUGCUUGACUGGGUGCCAAUAACUCACCUCCACAUCUCAGAACAGAGCUCGUGCCAAAUUCCAGUGUCCUUUGGAAUAGAAGUGGAGUGGACUAAAUAUGGAUCCCUGGUCAAUCCCCAAGCCAGGAUAGUGAAUGUUACAGCAACACUCACCACCACCACACUGAAGCAGCUUCCCUCAGGAAGGGAAAGGACUAUUCCUGUAACAAGUUCUGUUGUUUUCACUGACAUUUCCUCACCUGCAGAGCCAGGCUAUAAAGCUUGGCCCACCAUUAACAUCAAGUUACCCUUUGAUUUUUUCUACCCAUUUGUCUAAGCUCCCCAGAUUCCCACAGAUCUUCCCACUGCUGCAGGAAAGCAGGACAACCUGGCUAAAGGAAGUAGGACAGAGAGAAACAUCACUCCUUGGAGGAGGAGCAGCUCAGGGAACUUGGGUAGGGCACCCCACACUUUCCAGUGAGGAAACCAUUCCAACAGUGCCAGCCUUGCACAAGGAUCCCAGGCAGCAAGAAAGAUCCAGGGUGAGACAAGGACAUUUCCUGCAGCAUCCCUGGAGGGGAUGGAGGAGUAGAAGCAGAACAGAGCAUUAAAUCUUACUCUGCUGUAGAAGCAGAUGCAGGAAGACAGGGGCUCCCCUGUUAAAACACUGCCAGAAGGAUCCUACAGUGGAAACUUAGGAUGUGAGCCAUCCUUCUCCAGGAUGGACAGCCAGAGUGUGUGGCAGGCAGUGGUGCUGGGAAACUGGUCCAGGAGGUGUGAAGAGGAAUAGAUUAUGAAGUUUUUUAGGGGGAAUGUCUAUCCCUGCUCCAAAGAAAUUGCAGCCUGACUCUGGCCACACUCCAGCAAGGAAAACCACAGGGGUGGAACUCCGAGUUCACUGGGAGAGCAGGACCAGGGGUCUCACAGAUGGGUGUGAGGAGAGAACAAAGACAUGAGCCCAGGUAAUUGAGGGGAGGUGACAAAUCCAGCCCUUGGCCCAGGACACCCCCUCACCCACCGUUGAUGAUCCGGGCCACCCUCCAGAGCCGCAGCAGGAUCAGGAGCCCCACGGCCUCGAACUCGUGCUCCCGGAAGAUGAGGACGACGUCGAGCACGAAGGACACGACCACGACCACCCCGUCCAGCACCUCGAACUUGUGGUGGAAGAACUCGCGGCGAUACACGAACACCUUGAACCCCACCUCGACCAGGAAGAUGGUUAAAAUGGACAGGGAGAGGUAGUGGAAAACCUGGGAAAAGGCAGCACAAGCUGAAGGUGGGAAGAGGGAAACCCCCCUGUGUGCACACGAGCAGGGCAGGAUGGAAAACCUCCACUGCUCGAGGGCACGUCUGGUUGGGCUCUACAGGGAGAAGGGCUGGGGACUUUUCUUCUGCUCUAAAGGACAGAGUAUGUGGCAGCCUGUGGUGCUGGGGAACUGGUCCAGGAGCUGUGAAGAUGAGCAGGAGGAGGGUGGUGGGAGUGAUCCAGCUCUGCUGCAGCCCAAGGAAACCCGAAGCUGCUGCAGGGACUGGCGUGAGCUGAGCCAGGUCAGCCCCACACACCCCUGUGAGCCCCUCCUUUGUGUGCUGGGACCAUCAGGUCGGCAGGGCUGGAGCUCCAGGUCCUGCCUUGCCCAGCCAGCCUAUCCAGGGGAGGGUCUGAGCCACCAAAGGGAGGGAAAUCACUGUUCAUGGUGACAUUUCUCCACACUUUACCUUUGGGGUUAUGUUAUAUUUGUCCGGAUGGAUGAUUUUCAAGUCCAUGAGCAAUUCCCCAAGAACCAACAAGGCAUCCAGGAUCACCAGCCAGACAACCCCGAUCUGUCAGAGGAGAAGAACCAACGUGAAUCCCCUCCCAGCACAGACCACAAGAGGAGCCAUUGUGGCCCUUACAGCUGAACACACCCCAACACCCACAGCCCUGAUUCAGCUGGUUGUGUUUCAUGGAGCUUUCCAUUGCUCCCACUCCCCCUGGAUGGUGGGUUAUUCCUGCAAAGUCCCACUCCCAUGAAACCACCUGGCUCCCCAUAAACCCAACCACCUCCCAGCCCCUGAUGUGGGGAGCUCAAGACAGGGGGAGCACGUGCUGGUGCCGCAGU